AGCGAACGCUGGCGGCAGGCCUAACACAUGCAAGUCGAACGAACUCUUCGGAGUUAGUGGCGGACGGGUGAGUAACACGUGGGAACGUGCCUUUUGGUUCGGAAUAACUCAGGGAAACUUGUGCUAAUACCGAAUGUGCCCUUCGGGGGAAAGAUUUAUCGCCAUUAGAGCGGCCCGCGUCUGAUUAGCUAGUUGGUGAGGUAACGGCUCACCAAGGCGACGAUCAGUAGCUGGUCUGAGAGGAUGACCAGCCACACUGGGACUGAGACACGGCCCAGACUCCUACGGGAGGCAGCAGUGGGGAAUCUUGCGCAAUGGGCGAAAGCCUGACGCAGCCAUGCCGCGUGAAUGAUGAAGGUCUUAGGAUUGUAAAAUUCUUUCACCGGGGACGAUAAUGACGGUACCCGGAGAAGAAGCCCCGGCUAACUUCAUG
rnacentral:rRNA from 1 species